rnacentral:rRNA from 1 species
UACGUAGGGAGCAAGCGUUGUCCGGAAUCAUUGGGCGUAAAGCGCGCGUAGGCGGCCCCGUAAGUCCGCUGUGAAAGUCAAAGGCUCAACCUUUGAAAGCCGGUGGAUACUGUGGGACUAGAGUCCGGAAGAGGCGAGUGGAAUUCCUGGUGUAGCGGUGGAAUGCGCAGAUAUCAGGAGGAACACCAAUAGCGAAGGCAGCUCGCUGGGACGGUACUGACGCUAAGGCGCGAAAGCGUGGGGAGCGAACAGG